GGCACUACGGUGCUGAAGCAACAAAUGCCCUGCUUCCAGGAAAAGCCUCUAAGCAUCAGGUAACAUCAAAUCGUACCCCAAACCGACACAGGUGGUCAGGUAGAGAAUACCAAGGCGCUUGAGAGAACUCGGGUGAAGGAACUAGGCAAAAUGGUGCCGUAACUUCGGGAGAAGGCACGCUGAUAUGUAGGUGAAGCGACUUGCUCGUGGAGCUGAAAUCAGUCGAAGAUACCAGCUGGCUGCAACUGUUUAUUAAAAACACAGCACUGUGCAAACACGAAAGUGGACGUAUACGGUGUGACGCCUGCCCGGUGCCGGAAGGUUAAUUGAUGGGGUUAGCGGUAACGCGAAGCUCUUGAUCGAAGCCCCGGUAAACGGCGGCCGUAACUAUAACGGUCCUAAGGUAGCGAAAUUCCUUGUCGGGUAAGUUCCGACCUGCACGAAUGGCGUAAUGAUGGCCAGGCUGUCUCCACCCGAGACUCAGUGAAAUUGAACUCGCUGUGAAGAUGCAGUGUACCCGCGGCAAGACGGAAAGACCCCGUGAACCUUUACUAUAGCUUGACACUGAACAUUGAGCCUUGAUGUGUAGGAUAGGUGGGAGGCUUUGAAGUGUGGACGCCAGUCUGCAUGGAGCCGACCUUGAAAUACCACCCUUUAAUGUUUGAUGUUCUAACGUUGGCCCGUUAUCCGGGUUGCGGACAGUGUCUGGUGGGUAGUUUGACUGGGGCGGUCUCCUCCUAAAGAGUAACGGAGGAGCACGAAGGUUGGCUAAUCCUGGUCGGACAUCAGGAGGUUAGUGCAAUGGCAUAAGCCAGCUUGACUGCGAGCGUGACGGCGCGAGCAGGUGCGAAAGCAGGUCAUAGUGAUCCGGUGGUUCUGAAUGGAAGGGCCAUCGCUCAACGGAUAAAAGGUACUCCGGGGAUAACAGGCUGAUACCGCCCAAGAGUUCAUAUCGACGGCGGUGUUUGGCACCUCGAUGUCGGCUCAUCACAUCCUGGGGCUGAAGUAGGUCCCAAGGGUAUGGCUGUUCGCCAUUUAAAGUGGUACGCGAGCUGGGUUUAGAACGUCGUGAGACAGUUCGGUCCCUAUCUGCCGUGGGCGCUGGAGAACUGAGGGGGGCUGCUCCUAGUACGAGAGGACCGGAGUGGACGCAUCACUGGUGUUCGGGUUGUCAUGCCAAUGGCACUGCCCGGUAGCUAAAUGCGGAAGAGAUAAGUGCUGAAAGCAUCUAAGCACGAAACUUGCCCCGAGAUGAGUUCUCCCUGACUCCUUG
rnacentral:rRNA from 1 species